rnacentral:lncRNA from 1 species
GGAUUCCAGAGGAUGGAAUAGGUGUGAAAAGCAGCAGAGGGGUCAAACCAGAGGUGAAAUUGUUGUUCUCUGUCACCUUUACCAUUUGUGAAUACAUUUGUGUGAAGAGUAUAAGGGUCACCACUUAAAUUUCCCAAGAAUUCAAAGUCUAUCUCAUCCCAUGUGGAUCCCGGUGAUUUUAACUGCAUGGAAAAGAAAAGCCUAAGUAUCAGCAUGCAUGAUGAUCAUAGCUAGCUAUAUAUUUUGCAUAAAUAGCUGCGUUUUCAUUGAUUUCUAAAAAAGGGAGGAACUUACAUAAUAAGCAGUGACAGUACCAGCAGAGUUGCCAGGGACAAGCUUAAGCUGCAUGUCAAUCUUGCCAUAUAGAUACUCAUUCAUGGACUGGAAUCCUGAGCCAGAGGCUUUAUCAAGGGACAGAGUAAGAAGCUGGCCGUUGUUGAGUAUCUUCGCACGCCCAUCUCCCCAAGUGAUGUCAAAAUCUUUGUAGAAGCUACCAGCAGAGGCAACCAUCAAAGUUCCAAGCACUAGAAACAAAUGCAACAUUGAAGCCAUUGAUAUAUGCUUUGAAAUGAGCAAUAACAAGAUAGAAGUACUAUUCGUAAAUUGAAAUUGGAAACUGAAGUGAUGAAUGUGUUUAUGUCCUCACCAGGGUUUGGUUUUUAUAAGUUUGAUUCAGCUAAGCAGAGGAAAGUGACGGGAAGGCCCACUGAGGUGGGCUGCGGCCAGUUGUUUGGAUGAGAAAAGUGCAAUAAAAUAGCUGUGCAUGUAGCGUUAACAAACAUGAUCAAAACCAGGACAUUUUUUUAUUAUUAUUACGCGGUUUUGCAUUAUUUUUUCAGAGACCGAUGUAAUUGUCUCGUUGCUCCCCUAGUGCACAUCACCAGCUAAGUCUUAGAUUUUCCAACAACCACCAUUAAGAACAGUAUAAGGCAAACACGCAAAAUUACGAUUUUAAAAGUUAAAAAGGGGGGUAAAAGCAAAGCCAAAAAAAAAGUUGAAUUGACUUUCCGAGGCCUUCAUUAUUUUAUUUUUGUUCAUUUAUUGUAGUUAUAUUACAAAAAAAAAUAGUACUAUAAUUAAAAAUCCAUCAGAAUUAUGUCCGAGUCAGCUCGCAAUUUUUCCCCUUUUCCAAACAGAGAAAUUUUUUAACUCCCAUCUUAUAUCUUCUAGACUGUGACCAAAUUUUCGUUGGGCUGAUGAAAAUAGCGAUAUUAUCUUGUACAAGCUUUGCUUCCUGUCGUUUUCCUUUACAACAAAUCGGAAUAUUAUAUCUUACUUUUUAGUUUUUCAACAACUUUACGUGCAAAUAUGGAAGAUGUAAUAACAAGUUGCAAGUUGCUCCUUGUCGGCAUUCAAUGAGCUAGGCAAGCUGUAAAAUUGGCCCAUGAAUUAAUAAUCAGAUUAAUUAUGGAGAAGAGUGAAUUCAGAGUUCAACUUUUACUUGGCUAUUAACACUUGAACCAAGUUUUUCCAGCUCACCUCCUAACAGCGAAGUUCACAAGUUUUAUAAGAAAGCUUUUUCUUGGGCAACCCAAUGAAAAGCAGACAAAAUCAUGAGAUCCCUCUAAUUAAUUAAAUUUAUUGCCACUUAAACAAUCUCUAAUGUUUGUUUUUUCAACCAUUUUGAUAGUGACCAUAUGGCACAUGCUAGUAAAAUUCUUGAAUAAAACAUUAUUAUACAACUUAAUUUGACAAUCUUAUUUAAUUCAAUGGUCGUUAUUAGUUAGUAUCAGAGAAAAACUGUGAAACAAGUGAGAUUUGCAAGGUUGAGAGGCUAAAAACUAAUUAUUCAAGCAAGCCUGAUAAAUAUGUGUAAUGAUAUUAAUUGAGUCUCAUAUCGCUAAAUUAAAACUUGGCACAUAAGCUUAUAAACACUUGAUAUCCCUCUUUUUACAAGCUGGAAGGCCAUCUUUACAGAUGGAGUAAAUUGUACAAGGCUACUACCCACCUCAUGUGCGUUUCAAAAAGUCACGUAGCUCAACCUAAGGGCUUGGACGUCGGUCUUGAAAGAAGGGUGGAUUGAAAGUUUGUAACGUUUCUAAUGGGUAAAUUUUGGCAUAACCCUUUCGUGAAGUGAUAAUUUUCAAAUUGUCAUUCCUGUUAUUGAAAACAUCAAAUUAUCUCUCAAAAAUCAUUAUUUGUCUGUUACUUUUAACGGCUAAAAGGGUAAAAAAAUAUUUGUACAUUCCUCUAACAAUCAAUAAACAAAAAAAAAAGUCAAACAUUUAUGCGGGUUAUUUUUUAUAGGCUAAAUCUUUUUAAGUUUUUCAAAACACAUACAAAUAUUUUAAAUAUUUAUGAUAUGCAUCCCUAAUAUUUUAAAAAUAUUUUUCAUUUUGCACCUAUAUGUCUAAUUUUGUUCGAACUGAUUAAAUUUUAAUUUUUUGUAUUUUAAAACUUUAUUUAUUUUAAAAAAUAAAUAAAGAAAUUAAUUAAAGUUAUCAAUGAAAAAAGAAUAAUAUUUUACAUAUUUUAUAUUUAUUAUUAUAAUCAUUAUUAUUCUUUUUUUCUUUUGCAAAGGUAUUUAAAAAAAUAUAUACAUAUAAUAAAAAUCAAAGAACAAAAGAAAAAUGCUACCACAGACUUAAUCUAAAGCUUCAAAACUCUUCUCACCAAAAACCACUAUCAUCGCACACAACCCAAAAUUCUUCAAACCCUUUGCUUAUUCACCAAACUGAAAAUAAUAAACAACAAUAAAGUAAAUUCAAUCUAUUAUUAAUAAUAUGGUUAAUUCAAUAUUAAAGAUUAUUCAUAAUCUAAAAUUAAGGAAUCCCAAAUAUCAAAUUACAACAAUUCCUAAUUUUCUAGUAACAGUAGCUCAAUUGAACGAACAAAAUAAAAAUUUGAAACAACAAUCCCAAACCUUAGAAACAAUCAUGGGUAGUCGCGAUGUUAAAAAGUUGUUGUAAGAUGAUGUCCACGACGACCUACAACUCCACGGCUGUCAUAGCCACGCCGUGGUCAUUCUCGAUUGGAAAAGAGCAAAAGAAGUAUGGGUCUUGACUGCUGAAUGGUUGUGAUAAGAGGAAAAUCAAUGACUCUCUUGACUGCCAAAGAAGAAGAAUUAAGACGAAGCUCUCGGCGAUGCCAUGGCAGUGCUUUCGCCUGAGAUUGUUGAGUUGAUUGAUUGUUCAUACAAUGAAUGACACGAUUAAAUCGACGGUGAGUUGUAUGGUUCUGCAGUGACAUUAAGGACGCAAAUAAUUCAGGUUUUGGUCGCCGAAUUUUGAGGAUUUUGAUGGUCUCUGUCAACACCCCUUUGCAAGUUAUAGAUUAUGACUUCUGGGUUUUGGAUUUUAGUUUGUAGAAAUUAAGUUUUAGUUUUGAUUCAUUGUAGGAUUGGAUUUGAAUAUUGAUUGUACUUUUGUCAUGCACUUGUAAAGGGAAAAAAAUGAAGAAAAAGAUGAAAAAGGAGUAAGGCAAAGAAAAAAAAAUGAAAGAAAAACUCAAAGGAUUAAGCAAGAGGAAAAAAAUGAAGAAAAAGACGAAGAAGAAGUAAGGAAGAUGAAAAAGAAAUGAAGAAGAGAAAUUCAAUGUUUCAUUUAUUUUUUUCAUUUUAAUAUUGAUUUUUAUUAUACCUAUGGACUAUAAAAUGUCUACAUAAGAAAACAAAUGGGUGAUGGAAUAUUUUAGAAAUUGUAAAGGGACAAAGGAAAUAUAUUUUUAAAUAGUAGGUGUGUAACAAUUUAAGUUAAUGAUUUUCGUUAUUAGCGGGCUAUAUUGUACUUUCACGAGUUAACGGCAGUCAAUAGUUAAAGAUAACGAGUUUUGAGGGGUAGCUUAAUAUUUUCAAAAGUAAGGAGAGCAAUUCACUUCAUGAAGGGGAUAGACCGAAAUUAACUCCAAUUCUAAUUGAGUCUCACAUCACUAAAAUUUGUUAUUCUAUUUAUGAGUCAAAUCUUCAUGUACGUAUUCUAGUCCACCUGCUAAGUUAAAAAGUUUGAAGGAUGGAUUCUAUCAAUUUUUGCAUAACAAUUUAUUAUUCUAAUCACUAUUGAUGUCAACGAUAUUCUUGGAUAUAUAUAAGCCAGUUCUACCUAAUGUGUGCAUCACAAUUUAUUAAUUUGUUUAGUAGUGAAAUCCGUGACCAUCGUGGUAUAGUCAAUUUAAUUUGACGAACCACAAAUAUUGCUCGUUAUUGUUUUGGAUUAUCCUCAUAUUGGCAUGUUAUUGUUGUGUGUACUAUUCUUUGUCAAUGAAGCAAAUUGCGUUUUUCUCAUCUCCCCCCCUCCCCCCCCCCCCCCCUGAUUAAAGUCCCAAGUAAGCAUGAGGGAGGUGUUAAUUUGAUCAUCAAUCUUGAUCGACAGGGAUUUCUUUUAAUGUCAAAAGUUCUUUACUUUUGUCAUAUAAAUUCAAGUUUACCAAGAGAUUUCUUUUGUCAACAGGCGAAAAAAAUCUAAAAAAUUAAGUUUACAAAGAAGGUAGUACGGAAAGAAAUAUUAUAUUACAAGACAUUUUAUAGUACAUGGUAAAAUGCGGCCAAUUUCGCCUUUGUGAUCGCCAAAUAAUCAAAGAAUCAAACGGCCCAAACUACAUACAUAUUGAAUAGCCGACUAACUACAACGAAUUAUCAAAUGAUAGACGCAUAUAUUUGUUGAUUUAGCAACUUCUCUAAGCGGUUCUGCAUUCUACAGGGAGACCCUGGGGAUAUCGCUUUGUGUCAGUGCAGUAAUUGUAAAUCAUGUAAUUCUGUUGCACCCACUUCAGCCUGUUUUGACUUGAUGAAUCAAGCUCCUGCGAAAACCAGGCUCUGCUUCUGGACCUAGAGGAAGCGCAAGAUGAUUUUCCAUUAGACCAGAGACAAGCAUCAGCUUUGAAGUUUCUGUAAGAAGCAGUGAAGGGAGCAUGUGUCCAAUCUGUCUUAACAAGGCCACCUCUCGUAGCCCAGUCAUCAGCAUUCCAAAGAGAAGAGUAUAUUCUCAUUGGCUGAUUCUUUGGGAAUGGCACUCCAAUUGAUUCUGAGUUUUUGAAUUCUCUUAUAGGUGUGCCAUCAACAGAGAAGCUGGAAAUUACAAGGCAAAAACUCGUAAGUCUAACUGAAUUGAUUAAUGAGAAGGCAAUUAGGCAAACAUAGUUAGGAUUUAAGGAAAAAGGAAAAUACUUACACAAUGCGCUGAGGAUUCCAGAGGAUGGAAUAGGUGUGGAAAGCAGCAGUGGGGUCAAACCAGAGGUGAAAUUGUUGCUCUCUGUUUCCUUUUCCAUUUGUGAAUACAUUCGUAUGAAGAGUAUAAGGAUCACCACUUAAAUUCCCCAAGAAUUCGAAGUCUAUCUCAUCCCAUUUUGAUCCUGGUGAUUUUAACUGCAUGGAAAAAGAAAGCCUACGUAUCAGAUGCAUGAUGAUCAUAAGUCGCUAUUUUGCAUUAAUAAUGCUGUACAGGGGAACUUACAUAAUAAGCAGUAACAGUGCCAGCAGAGUUGCCAGGGACUAGUUUGAGUUGCAUAUCAAUCUUGCCGAAUAGAUAUUCAUUCUUGGACUGGAAACCUGAGCCAGAGGCGUUAUCAAGGGAAAGCGUAAGAAACUGGCCGUUGUUGUGUAUCUUGGCACGCCCAUCUCCCCAAGUGAUGUCAAACUCUUGGUAGAAGCUACCAGCAGAGACAACCAUCAAAGUACCAAGCACUAGAAACAAAUGCAACAUUGAAGCCAUCGAUGCGUAGCAGUUGAGUUAACCGAAAGAACUUCGUAGUUUGAAAGGGAAGAGAUGAAUGCCAUUAGGACCACGGUUUGGCAUUUAUAGCAUGAUUAAGCUAAGCAGAGGAAAGUGAUGGGGAAGGCCCAGUCCAGUGAGCUGGGCUCUGGCCAGUUGUUUGAGAAAAGUGUAACAAUAAAAUAAAUAGCUGUACAGGCCACUAGCAAAUACAACUCAACCUGGCCAGUGCUUCAAAAAUAACCAGGAAGGUUUUAUUAUAACACUCGGUUUGCAUUAAAUUUUUUAAAUUUUAUUAUAUCAUGCAGUACUUGCGUCGAUGCUGCCCGGGUUCCCAUCGCCAGCUAAGAGUCUGACAUGCUAGUACCAAGAUGGUCCAAUGACUGGGGGAACCUUAGGUGCAACUGUGGCACCUUGGUACAGUUGCAUCUAACCGUUAUAUGUCAGUGAACCCCAUUAACCCAACUGCAUCUAACGGCUAGAUGCAACUGUGGCACGGUGCCACAGUUGCACCGUAGCCUGAUCCCUAAUGACUCCAAUAUUAUCCAACAGCCGCCAUUAAGAUAACAUCCAUUAUUCAUAACAAGUAUUUUGGAACAUAUAAGGCAAAGAAAUAAGGACUUUAGGUACAUAGUGCUAAAAGUUCAAUACCAAUUUCAUGAUCUAAUCUGAUUAUAUUUGUCCAAACUCCAAAUUCAAAGUUCAAUCCAUGAAAAAUUCUAGAAUUAUGUAGAGAAUGAUAAAUAUUUUUACUCUAAAAAUAUCUAAUAAUCGUAAAAUUAUCUAAUUCUAAAUAUUUCUCAAAUAUUUAGAGAUAUUUAUGAAAUAUGGUCGUCAUAUUUUGUAAUUUAAUAUUUUGUGUGGUUUGUAUUAAUUAUAAGUUACUAUAAAUACCCCUAAAUUUUUUGUUGUUGGCAUCAAGUGGAGAAUGAAGAAUUAAUAAAGAGAGAAAGAAGAGUUAGAGGUGAUUGUUGUUGUGUCUCUUAUAAAAUAUCAAUAAAGUUCUUCAGUUUAAUAAAAUUCUUCGGUUGCUCAAAUAAUUUCAAUUUUGAACAGUUUAGUCCUCCUCAGUUUUCAACACACAUAUGUUAGUUGCCUUUCCCUCCCCCCCCCCCCCCCCCCCAAAUUACUAAAUUGUAGUUGAUGAUUUUUUGUAAUAUUAUAUAUGAUCAACUAUUAUUUACGGUGUAAAAAAAUGAGGUAUUCAGUUAAACGUAAUUUGUAUUAGUCUUUUUAUUAUAUAACUCAAAUGUAUGUAAAUUAUUUUCGGUCGUAUAUAUAACUAGAUAUAAAUGAAAUAUACUCUCAUUCAAGGAAGAAAAAUAUCUAAUUUACUGAAAGUUUCUUAAAUUUCAUGUUAGAUUUUCUAAAUUUACGUUAGAUGUUUUCAAGAUCAUAUUUGUUGUCGUAGACCUACAAUAUUAACAAUGAAAGAGUAUGAUGUUGUGUCAAAAUACAAUUUAGAAGUAAAUUUUCAAUAAGGUUUUGUACAUCCGAUUUCUGACCAAAAACAAAUGCAUGAACUUGCAUGCGUUCAGUGCUUAUCCAAAUCAUGAUAGAAAAUUGCGAAACUAUGAUUGGAUUGGAGGCUUGUAGCUGCAGCCUUUGGUUUUACCUGCUUUAACCAUUUGCCAAAUAGAAACUUGUCAAACUUUCACAAAUUUUAGGUGAGCUGAGGAAAGCAGCAAAAUUAUUGCAUGCAUAUUUGCUCCCAGCUGGAAUCGUCCUGUGUAGCAGAUUGACAUUUUUAUCUUCAUUUUCAAGUCAUUUAAUUUGUCAUUUUGUUGUUGGUGGGUGUUGUGGGGAAGGCGCUAGUUUCUUUACGUGCAAAUGGAAGAUGUAAUAACAAGCUGCUGCUUGCUGGCAUUAUUAAUUCAUCAAUAAGGCAAGCUGUAAAAAUGACCCAUGGGCCAAGAAAUAGUAAUCUGAAUUUGAUGGAGAGCAAUGAUAUUUGAUUACUAAUAAGGCCGAGAAACACUUGAACCAAGGCUUGCCAACUCACCAUCCACUAACAAAGUUCGCAGGUUUUAUAUAGGACAGUUUUUGCUGAGAUAAUACCAUCAUAAAUGCAUAAUGAAGGCAUUUCAUGAGUUUGAUUUACCUUUGAUGCCACUUGAAGAAUCCCAGCUGUUAUUUUGCUUUUUCAAUCAUUUGAUGAAACCACAUGCUGUUAGAAUUCUUAAUAAAUAGAAAAUUAUAUAACUUGAUUUUAUCUAAUUUUAAUUUUUUUUAAAAAUAUUAUAUUCUCUCAUCUUACUGGUUGCAUAUAUAUUCCUCACUUACUUCGAGCACCCACUUAUAAUAUUUAUAAAAAAAUUUAUUAAUUUUACUCUUUAAAUAUCUAUUUGUUUAAUUAUAUGGUAAAAGAGAGAAUAAAAAAAUAAGUUAUUCUCCAACAAACUCUUUAAAUAGAAAUAAGUUAAAUAUUAUUUUAAUUAAAUAAAUAUUUUUUCAAAAAAAAAUUAAUGAUAAUUAAAAUAAUUUUCUCACUCACUCUAAUAAAAAAUAAUAAAAUAUAAAUUAAAAAGUAAGAAAGUAACUCUACAAAUUUAAAGAGAGUGAAUAAUUUUUUAUUUAAAAAAUUUUAAUUAAAUUUUUUUUUAAAGUCUUAAAUAUUAAUAUAAUUAUUUAAAUAAAUAAUAAAAUUUUUUUAAAUUUUUUUUAAAAAAAACUCCAACAAGCCCACUUUGUUUUAUUUAAAAAUCUAAGUUACUCGAAAACCCACUUUUGUUUUUUUUGGGGUGAAAAGGCAAAAGUUUGUGUUUUACUCACGAAUUAGCAGCUGUCAAUAGCUGUUAUGAUAUCAAAUAUUUAUGUGCACACGUCACCGUCGUCUCCAAGGCUUAUUAUUAUUACACAGUACACCCAUCAUUUGUGGGGCUAUUUAGAAUAGACCAGCUCCUUUGUAAUAUCUUCAUUUUUUUUUCAUAAAAAUAAAUAAAUAAACUAAAAAUAAUGACUAGUUGAACUCAAUUUCAAUAUAUGCAUUUAGGGUAAAGAAAAAGAAAAUGUUAAAAAGAUUUAUAAGGACAUUCAUAUAAUAAGAAAGAAUAAGCUAAAUUCAAGUAAACUUGAUGUCUGAAAGAGUAAAAUUAUUUGUUAUUUGUUAAAAACUCAAAAGAUACAUACGUACAAAUAAAUGCCUGUAAUGUCUUGGCUAAUAUUUACUAUUUAUUAAUUAGCAUGUAAGACAUACUUCGUGUUAAUAAUAAGUUCAACAACUUAAGCUUUGGAGAAAACAUGUUAAUUAAGGAUUUUUUAUUCAUUAACAUGUAUGCUUGAACCUAUCCAUUAUUAUGGUUAUUAUCACGUGAUUCAAAAAGUGCAAUUUCGAUUUCAAAUCAUGGCAUUUUUAACUAAUAGCCUUUACUUUAUCUUACUUUUAUAUAUAUGGUUUCAAACAUUGAAUCCAAGAGUUCAAUGUUUAAAACACUUAUCUUUGGAUCACGGGUUACCCAAGAAAAAAGAGAUAAUGCUAUUCAUUAACAAAAGUAACAAUAUUUUAUUACACGUAGCACUUAUAGUACAAAAAAGAAUGAACCAUACAUUUUAUUUGUCACUAAACAUUAGUACACAGAAUAAAAGAACCAAAACAUCAAAACUGAAGAUUAAAAAAGCUAUAAACAAAGACAUAUGGCAAAUGGAUCAGUUAUAUAUUGAAUGCACAUUCUUUUGGGAGCCCUUGGGGAAAUCGUUUUGAGUCCUUGCAAUAAUUAUAUAUCAUGUAAUUCUUCUGCACCCAUUUGAGUCUCUCUUGGCCAGUGGUAUCAAGUUCUUGCGAGAACCAUGGAUUAUUAUUUUUUGAGUUGCAAGAGGAUUUUCCAUUAGACCAGACGCAAGCAUUGGCAUUGAAGUUUCUGUAAGAAGCAGUGAAGGGAGCUUGGGUCCAGUCAGUUUUGAUAAGGCCACCUCUCGUGGCCCAGUCAUCGGCGUUCCAGAGACUCGAGUAAAUCCUCAUCGGCUGGUUUUUGGGAAAGAGUACGCCGUUUGAUUCCAAGUUCUUGAACUCUCUAAUUGGCGAGCCAUCAACAUAGAAGCUGAAAAACAUGCAUGCCAUUUUUUUUUACCAGGUCAAUCAUAAUAAAAAUAGAAAGCAUACUUGUCAAAGAAGAAAUGUCUUUGAAAGAAAAAAGUAACGAGAUAUUUGAAAGACUUACACAAUACGUUGGGGGUUCCAGAGAACGGAAUAGGUGUGAAAGUCAGCAGUGGGGUCAAACCAGAGGUGGAAUUGUUGUUCUCUGUCACCUUUGCCAUUUGUGAACACAUUAGUAUGAAGAGUAUAAGGAUCACCACUUAAAUUCCCCAAGAAUUCGAAGUCUAUCUCAUCCCAUGUUGAUCCUGGUGAUUUUAACUGAAUGAAGAAAGCAAAAAAAAGAAAAAAAAAAAUCUAUGUAUCAGCAUGCAUGCACGAUAUGAUAUUAACCAGCUAGCUAAUCUUUUGUAUAUAAGAAAAACUGCUUGUGUGUGUGUGCGUGUAUUAUCAAGUUUUCUGAAAAUUAC